rnacentral:rRNA from 1 species
GACGAACGCUGGCGGCGUGCUUAACACAUGCAAGUCGAACGGAAAGGCCCUGCUUUUGUGGGGUGCUCGAGUGGCGAACGGGUGAGUAACACGUGAGUAACCUGCCCUUGACUUUGGGAUAACUUCAGGAAACUGGGGCUAAUACCGGAUAGGAGCUCCUGCUGCAUGGUGGGGGUUGGAAAGUUUCGGCGGUUGGGGAUGGACUCGCGGCUUAUCAGCUUGUUGGUGGGGUAGUGGCUUACCAAGGCUUUGACGGGUAGCCGGCCUGAGAGGGUGACCGGCCACAUGGGGACUGAGAUACGGCCCAGACUCCUACGGGAGGCAGCAGUGGGGAAUAUGGCACAAUGGGCGGAAGCCUGAUGCAGAAACGCCGCGUGCGGGAUGACGGCCUUCGGGUUGUAAACCGCUUUCGCCUGUGACGAAGCGUGAGUGACGGUAAUGGGUAAAGAAGCACCGGCUAACUACGU